rnacentral:lncRNA from 1 species
GGGAACAACUAAAAAGCUGCACCGCAAUACACAAAAUUACACGAACCCUCCAUGUCCUUCAUCUUUUUUAUCAACCUGUAAGCGACCUUCAUAACCAAUUCCAACAAAAACACCACAACAACCGUUCAACGGCUCAAAAAAAACAAACGAUCCCACCCUAAACGAUCCCCCAUUUUUCUUCCUCAAUGAAGAGCUAACCUAGAGAUCCCUAACGCUAAGAGACGAAGUAGCGCCGAUAAUAGUACAGAGGAACUGCUCAAUCUCCUUCUCCACAUGCACCACCCUUCAUCGAAAUCCAACGGCCAGAACUCCUCCAAUCUACUCCAGUCGCUGCUCCUUACUGCUCACACACAUACACACCAACAAAAGCUUUUAUUUAAGUUGCGUUUCAGUUUACUUGUCUUCGAUCAAUUGAAAAUCAAGGUUGGGAUGCUUGGCGCUUCGGACAGCAUGGUCUACAUCUUAUUCGAGGUUCGAGUGUCGUCCGACGAGAUUCUACCUCAUUGAGGUCCUGAACUGUUUUUCUUAUUUGCUCUUGGAUUACCUACUAGAAAGCUCAUUGUUUGGUUCAAGGUUUUCUUCUUCCUAUGUUUCAGUUCGUUCCUUUUAUGUGAUGAUUGGAUGCUUUAGUUGUGAUACAGGUUUAAUGUCAAUUUUUGAAUUUAUGUUUGGUUGAUUCUUUGCAUCUGAUCCUCUGUAGUUUGAACUAAUCAGUGAAGUGCUGCUAGUUUUCUAAUGAGUAUUAUGUGAUGAAAUUUUGGGUUUUUUAUCGUUGGUUUCUUUUUAUGAAUAGUUUUUCUAUUGUAUUUUCUUUUGUAUUUUGUGUUAAGAUGUAGAGGAUUUUUCUUUAAUUUUUUGGUGGGCUAUAACUUAUAAGAAGUUAAGUCAGCUUUAUUCAUGUGAAUCAAUGUGCAGAAUAAAACUCUUGUUCAAUGAAUACAAACAAAGAGUGAAAUUGGACAAUAAAACUUGAAAUUAGGGUGAUUUGC